UGUGUGUGUGUUUGUAAGCCCUGUCAAUUGAACCAGUGAAUAAGAAGGCACACGUGUAAAUCAACACGGGGUCGGUCAAAGGAACACGAAAAUGGUGGUGUUCAGUUGGAUUUUUAUAAAAAUCAGCAUAAAAUCAUUAAAUAGUUCAUCUACCAUCAAAAUCCUGAAGUGUUUACUUAACAGGAUUUAUGAGAUGUGUGUAACAGGUGUGUAAAGAUUUAGCACUCGUCCAUCUUUUUUCCUUGCGAGCAUGGCUUACACACUUUCGAAGUGCGCAUGCUCUGUUUUGAAUGACGUAAUUUGUGAUGUCAUCAUAAUGGAGUUUUCCAGGGAAAGAAGUUGGCCCAUCUGAGGUAAGUAAACAUGGUUGAAAGAAAAUUUUUGCAUAUUAACAAUGAGUUUUUUAUUAGAUAGACUGAUUAAAUGGUGUUUCAUACCGAUCGUGUUAUGUACAAGCGACAGAGUACCCGAGUUACUGAAAAUUCCGAUGAUGAAAGUGAUAUAUCUAGUACGUGAACUGUUUGGGGUUUUUUCUAAAAUUUAAUCUUUGCAGUUAAUGUACUCUGUAUACUAAAAAUUCAUAUUGAUUUUGGAUAGAAUUUCACAUUUAAAAACAAAUAGAUAUGCGCCAAGUCCUUAGGAAUCAACCCCACCCCUCCACACGGGACUUUUUUUUGGAUGAUUGGACCGUAUCCCCCUUUUCAUCGGUCUCCCUACUUUGAAGUUUUUUUCCCAACGCCAUGACAUAAAUAGAUAAAUAAAUAAAAUGCAAAAAUAAAAACGAAAGAUAUAUAUGUAUUCGGAUUGGCAUGUUCCACUUUGUCCGGGUUGAAAUCCCCGAGGAUGCAAAUGUACAUUACGCCGCACUGUUUGCAGUACGCACAUGGUACAGGUGUACCACAUAGUGGUCUUCAACUUUUAAUCUCCAAGAAGGAAAUGUAAUUAAAAGAUGAAUAAAGUAUCCCUAAGAAUACCAGAAGAAAGGCUAUGUGUUGAGAAAAACAGCCCUUCCUCAGUACCUCAGAACUAGAUGAUAGCCCUUAAUUGUUACUUUAUGCUGAAUAUGACACAGUAUAGAAGAUCUGAUCAUGAAGAAGUAACACCAUUGAUACACUUGCCAACUGCCAAAAUUACUUUCUGAUAGUAUGACGAGAUUAGAAGAUAUUAUGGUGUAGUCAUGACACAAACUGCAAAAUCAAAGAAUUAAUUGUCUUCCCCAGAGGAUGAACAGAGCAAGAUGGCUUCACAUGGAUAACAUUUCCUUUCGAGUUUUGAAAUUAAUUUGUCAGAAUGUUAUGCAUCGUUAUCAACAGAAAAGAACUUCAUAGGUAGACCAAAGCUGACAUGGGAUGAGAUCCUAGAACAAGACCUAGAGUUUACAGGAUUGGAUAGGAUCAAUCCACUGGGUCGCCAAGUGUGGAAGUACAAACUUCAACCUCGACAGGACAGCCAGGCCUCACCCUUGCAAAAAGAUUAAUUUGACCUGGAUAGUCAAAAUGAGUGAUGAUGAUUGAUAUCAAGGUCUGACACUGGAAGCUCAGUAAGGGUAGAUGCUGGCAAUGGAGCUGUUUAGCAAUAAAACAAACAAGUUUAACAUUAAACAUGUUUGUAUACUUUUUUGGCUCACCUGAGCCAAAGGCUCAAGUGAGCUUUUCUGAUCACCUUUGCCUGUCGUCUGUCUGUUUAUAAACUUUUCACAUUUUCAUUUUCUUCUCCAGAGUGAACCACUGGGCCAGUUUCAAUCAAACUUGGUAUGCAUCAUCAAUAGAUAAAGGGUAUUCAAGUUUGUUCAUAUAAAGGGUCAUGCACCCUUCAAAAAGGAAAUAAUCAUGGAAAUGCAAAAAUAGGGUGGGGUCAUUUAAAAAACCUUUUCAAGAACCACUGGACCAGGAAAGUUGAAUUCACACGAAAGGUUCCUGUUUUGUGCAAAUCAUGGUCUCUGGGGGUAGGGUGGGGUCACAAUAGAGAAUCAAAGUUUUACAUUCAUAUAUAGUGCAUAUUCAAGUUUGUAAAAAGCUCACAGGGGUAGGGUGGGGGUCACAAUAGGGGAUUUAAGUUUUACAUGUGAAAUAUAUACAAGGAAAAUCUUUUAAAAUCUUCUCCUCAAAAACUAGAUGCAGAACCGUAGCUCUUUGAAAAGAGAGCUUCAGAUGAACCCCUUAUAAAAUAAACUUCAAUUUAUGGCAGAGAAAAAAAGUGCAUGUUUAAGUCCCU